GGGGUCAUAGCUCAGAUGGUAGAGUGUUUGCAUGGCAUGCAAAAGGCCAGCGGUUCGAAUCCGCUUGACUCCA
rnacentral:tRNA from 1 species